GCUCGAGUAGUCUAGUGGUUAUGAUGUCUGCUUUACAUUAUCCCAUGAUGUGAAGCGCAGAAGGUCCCGUGUUCGAUCCACGGCUCGAGUA